rnacentral:tRNA from 1 species
GAGGGUAUAGCUCAGUGGUAGAGUGCCUGCUUAGCGUGCAUGAUGUCUUAGUUUUAAUCCCCAGUACCUCCA